rnacentral:rRNA from 1 species
GGGGGGGGGGGGGGGGGGGGGGGGGGGGGGGGGGGCGGGCGGGGGGGGCGGGGGGGGGGGGGGGGGUGGGGGGGCGAGCGGGGGGGUAAGGCGGGGGUAAGCUGCGCUUGACGGUGGGAUAACUUCAGGAAACGGGGGGUAAGACCGGAAGGGAGCUCCUGCUGCAGGGUGGGGGGUGGAAAGUUUCGGGGGUUGGGGAGGGACGCGCGGCUGAUCAGCUUGUUGGUGGGGGAGUGGCUUACCAAGGCUUUGACGGGUGGCCGGCCUGAGAGGGUGACCGGCCACAUUGGGGCUGAGAUACGGCCCAGACUCCUACGGGAGGCAGCAGUGGGGUAUAUUGCACAAUGGCCGGAAGCCGGAUGCAGCAACGCCGCGUGCGGGAUGACGGCCUUCGGGUUUUAAGCCGCUUUCGCCUGUGACGAAGCGUGAGUGACGGUAAUGGGUAAAGAAGCACCGGCUAACUACGUG